rnacentral:rRNA from 1 species
UAGCAAUAUCAUAGUGGCGCACGGGUGCGUAACACGUAUGCAACCUACCUUAUACUUAGGGAUAGCCUUUGGAAACGGAGAUUAAUACCUAAUAGUACAUUUGACUGGCAUCGGUUGACUGUUAAAGAUUUAUUGGUAUAAGAUGGGCAUGCGUCCAAUUAGUUAGUUGGUGAGGUAAUGGCUCACCAAGACGAUGAUUGGUAGGGGAACUGAGAGGUUAAUCCCCCACACUGGCACUGAGAUACGGGCCAGACUCCUACGGGAGGCAGCAGUAGGGAAUAUUGGGCAAUGGAGGGAACUCUGACCCAGCCAUGCCGCGUGCAGGAUGAAGGCGUUAUGCGUUGUAAACUGCUUUUAUAUAGGAAGAAAUAGUCCUUGCGAGGAAAGUUGACGGUACUAUAUGAAUAAGCACCGGCUAACUCCGUGCCAGCAGCCGCGGUAAUACGGAGGGUGCAAGCGUUGUCCGGAUUUAUUGGGUUUAAAGGGUGCGUAGGCGGUUUAUUAAGUCAGUGGUGAAAGACGGUCGCUCAACGAUUGCAGUGCCAUUGAUACUGGUAGACUUGAGUAUGAUUGAGGUAGCUGGAAUGGAUAGUGUAGCGGUGAAAUGCAUAGAUAUUAUCCAGAACACCAAUUGCGUAGGCAAGUUACUAAGUCAUAACUGACGCUGAGGCACGAAAGUGUGGGUAUCAAACAGGAUUAGAUACCCUGGUAGUCCACACUGUAAACGAUGAUAACUAACUGUUGGCUUUUGGGUCAGUGGUACAGAGAAAUCGUUAAGUUAUCCACCUGGGGGAGUACGCCG